rnacentral:rRNA from 1 species
UUAAAUUGAAGAGUUUGAUCAUGGCUCAGAUUGAACGCUGGCGGCAGGCCUAACACAUGCAAGUCGAACGGUAACAGGAAACAGCUUGCUGUUUCGC